GGCCUGACAAUUCCUCAGACUAGUGGAAGGAGACAGGGCAAUUUGGAAGUGGCAGGGAGCAGAGGCGAGGCUGCAGUGACAGGAACGUGGCGAGCGAGCAGAGCACAGGACGAGCUCAAAGCCACUGGCCCUUUGGAACACGCGCACGCGUGCACACACGCGCAUAGAAACCCACACUCGGGGGACAAGCUGAGGGAUGCCUGCUCGCAGCUGCAGGCAGACAUGUCACAGAUCCAACUGGCAUUUCUUCCUGAUAAUCUCAGCCGAGCAGCGAGUGACAGGGGGUCAUUGCAAGGAUUAAAUUCGUGAACGUGGGGCACCUGGGUGGUUCAGUGGUUAAGCGGCCGACUUCAGCUCGGGU